rnacentral:rRNA from 1 species
GACGAACGCUGGCGGCGUGCUUAACACAUGCAAGUCGAACGGAAAGGCCCUGCUUGCAGGGUACUCGAGUGGCGAACGGGUGAGUAACACGUGGGUGCUCUGCCCUGCACUUCGGGAUAAGCCUGGGCAACUGGGUCUAAUACCGGAUAGGAGCCAUUUUUAGUGUGAUGGUUGGAAAGUUUUUUCGGUGUAGGAUGAGCUCGCGGCCUAUCAGCUUGUUGGUGGGGUAAUGGCCUACCAAGGCGGCGACGGGUAGCCGGCCUGAGAGGGUGGACGGCCACAUUGGGACUGAGAUAAGGCCCAGACUCCGACGGGAGGCAGCAGUGGGGAAUAUUGAACAAGGGGCGCAAGCCUGAUGCAGCGACGCCGCGUGGGGGAUGACGGCCUUCGGGUUGUAAACUCCUUGCGCUAGGGACGAAGCUUUUUGUGACGGUACCUAGAUAAGAAGCACCGGCUAACUACGUG